CCUUCGAUAGCUCAGUUGGUAGAGCGGAGGACUGUAGUGGAUUACUCAUAGAGAUCCUUAGGUCGCUGGUUCGAAUCCGGCUCGAAGGA